rnacentral:rRNA from 1 species
AUUGAACGCUGGCGGCAUGCCUUACACAUGCAAGUCGAACGGCAGCGCGGGGCAACCUGGCGGCGAGUGGCGAACGGGUGAGUAAUAUAUCGGAACGUACCCUGGAGUGGGGGAUAACGUAGCGAAAGUUACGCUAAUACCGCAUACGAUCUAAGGAUGAAAGUGGGGGAUUCGCAAGAACCUCAUGCUCCUGGAGCGGCCGAUAUCUGAUUAGCUAGUUGGUGGGGUAAAGGCCUACCAAGGCAUCGAUCAGUAGCUGGUCUGAGAGGACGACCAGCCACACUGGAACUGAGACACGGUCCAGACUCCUACGGGAGGCAGCAGUGGGGAAUUUUGGACGAUGGGCGAAAGCCUGAUCCAGCAAUGCCGCGUGAGUGAAGAAGGCCUUCGGGUUGUAAAGCUCUUUUGUCAGGGAAGAAACGGUGAAGGCUAAUAUCCUUUGCUAAUGACGGUACCUGAAGAAUAAGCACCGGCUAACUACGUGCCAGCAGCCGCGGUAAUACGUAGGGUGCAAGCGUUAAUCGGAAUUACUGGGCGUAAAGCGUGCGCAGGCGGUUUUGUAAGUCUGUCGUGAAAUCCCCGGGCUCAACCUGGGAAUUGCGAUGGAGACUGCAAGGCUAGAAUCUGGCAGAGGGGGGUAGAAUUCCACGUGUAGCAGUGAAAUGCGUAGAGAUGUGGAGGAACACCGAUGGCGAAGGCAGCCCCCUGGGUCCAGAUUGACGCUCAUGCACGAAAGCGUGGGGA